GUAAGUAGUAAUGCUAAAUCGUUAAUUAUCGUGUAAAUCUAAUCGCGCCGCACGUAUCGACUUCAUAAUCGCGACCUCGCGCGCAAGAUUGACUUCGUCAGCCGCAAAUCUUCGCUUCCUUCACAUUCUCGGCGUGACGUCACAGCUCGAAACCGCCAAAAGUUCGCGCGCGCAAGUUUACGAGGGUGCAUCGCGACGAUUACCGGGCGCCUUUUGAUGCGAAAAUUUUCCAGUUUUUCGGCGUCGUCGAUCGCAUUCUGAACGGGCGAUUACGCGUUUCGGUCAAACUUUCGGGUCAUCGUGUCGAAAUAUCAUUUCGCGGCGAAUGAAGUUCGUAAUUGUCGCAAAAAUCGUAGAUCAUCGUAGAUCGAUUUCGAUAAUGGUCCCGUCGCCAUAUUGAUAUAUGUAAUAAUCAAUUAUCAAUGUCGUACGCCACCCUCUAAAUCUCCGCGAUUUCUUCGUCGUUGAAUAUUCGGUGAAGUAUAAAAAACGUAGUGCCCAAUUUCGAAAUAUCGGCGACUUCUGAGUGCGUCGCGGGGAAGUCACCGUCGUCGUUCGAUGGGGUCCUCGCCGAUGAGUGACCUUGAGGCGGCGACGCGAAAACGGAGCAUCGGUUUUGUUCGCGCGCGAAUAAGCUCUCGCGAUUCUCGCGUUUUACCGAAAACGCGUCGAAAACAUGAUCAUUAAAACCCGAGCGUCGCGAACGAAAAAAAAGUGACGCGAGUGCAAGUGUUUCGAAGCUUCUACGAGAGGAGGAGGAGGCACGGGGUGGCAUCGGGCAAUGUCCGAUCAACUACAUGUUUACAACUCCGCUGUUCCGCAUCGUGUCGUACAACGUAAAAACGACAAAGGGAAGGACAUCUUACGGUAAAUCUCACGUCGGUCCGCUUCUUCAGCUAGUUCCGCUCUAGUUUCUACAGCACGGUGAAAACUCAUUUCCACUUCUACUUACGAUCCAGGCUCUUGUCCUUCCCUAGAUGCGCGACACGCACGAUCCUUUCUUCUCGCCAGCCUGGAAAUGAGAAACGCCAAGAGCAAGGCUCAUUUUACCGCCUUCGGACGAACAUGACUGCGUAGAGAAUUGAUCAAAAUUCGAUCCAUCCAUUAUAUAAGGCAGAAAGUUUGCAAAUGACGAAGAGUGGCCUACGUGAUCGGAGAAACGUCGUCCCGCGAUGACAGCGCCGUUCCUUGACGGCUUUUCGUUUUCGAAAGUAACCGCAGAUGGCGCUCGCAUCGAGGCGUUGGUAACAGGUGGACUUGCUUGAUCGUGUGAAGUUUUUUACAAGUUGGCAAGCCUGUUUCGCGAAGAAAAAAGGCGGGUCUAGCACGCUCGGAAGUUUCUCUCCUCUUCAGAUAAAGCAAGCUCGAGGUCGCGACAUUUUUUCGCUCCUGCGAGAUGCAAGAAGGUUGCUGCCUGGAAGGGGCUGAAGAAAACGAGAUAACUGCGUGAAGCUCGAGUUUCAUUUGCGGCUGGGAAGUCUUGGUGCAACUUACCCGGGGGAAUACUUCAACUAGGGCAUUUGCUACCUGCUACUAAAUUAGCGCUGGAAUUAAUCUCCAUCUACCGCUUGGUCUCCAGUAAAAUAUGCGAC